rnacentral:rRNA from 1 species
AGGUAGCGCAAUCACUUGUCUUUUAAAUGAAGACCCGUAUGAAUGGCAUAACGAGGGCUUAACUGUCUCCUUUUUCUAGUCAAUGAAAUUGAUCUCCCCGUGCAGAAGCGGGGAUACACACAUAAGACGAGAAGACCCUGUGGAGCUUUAGAUGAGGGAGUGGCCCCUGUCACCCUCCCCUUAAGGGAACAAACUAAAUGGGCCCCCAUUCCAUUAUCUUUGGUUGGGGCGACCGCGGGGGAACAAAAAUCCCCCAUGUGGAAUGGGAAUACAUCUCACAAGUGAGAGCUACAGCUCUAGCUACCAGAACUUCUGACCAACAAGAUCCGGCAUUGCCGAUCAACGGACCGAGUUACCCCAGGGAUAACAGCGCAAUCCUCUUUUAGAGCCCAUAUCGACAAGGGGGUUUACGACCUCGAUGUUGGAUCAGGACAUCCUACUGGUGCAGC